UACGUAGGGUGCAAGCGUUAAUCGGAAUUACUGGGCGUAAAGCGUGCGCAGGCGGUUUUGUAAGUCUGUCGUGAAAUCCCCGGGCUCAACCUGGGAAUUGCGAUGGAGACUGCAAGGCUGGAAUCUGGCAGAGGGGGGGUAGAAUUCCACGUGUAGCAGUGAAAUGCGUAGAGAUGUGGAGGAACACCGAUGGCGAAGGCAGCCCCCUGGGUCAAGAUUGACGCUCAUGCACGAAAGCGUGGGGAGCAAACAGG
rnacentral:rRNA from 1 species